rnacentral:rRNA from 1 species
ACCUGACUGCUAUCGGAUUGAUACUAAGCCAUGCGAGUCUUUGCAGUAAUGCAAGGCAUACGGCUCAGUAACACGUAGUCAACUUACCCUAUGGACGAGGAUAAUCUCGGGAAACUGAGCAUAAUACUCGAUAGAUCAUAAUGCCUGGAAUGGUUUAUGGUUGAAAUGAUUCGUCGCCAUAGGAUGGGACUGCGGCCUAUCAGCUUGUUGGUGAGGUAAUGGCCCACCAAGGCGAUUACAGGUACGGGCUCUGAGAGGAGAAGCCCGGAGAUGGGUACUGAGACAAGGACCCAGGCCCUAUGGGGCGCAGCAGGCGGGAAAACUUUGCAAUGUGCGAAAGCACGACAAGGUUAAUCCGAGUGAUUUCUGCUAAAGAAAUCUUUUGCAAGUCAUAAAACCACUAGUGAAUAAGGGGUGGGCAAGUUCUGGUGUCAGCCGCCGCGGUAAAACCAGCACCUCAAGUGGUCAGGAGGAUUAUUGGGCCUAAAGCAUCCGUAGCCGGCUCUGUAAGUUUUCGGUUAAAUCCAUGUGCUCAACGCAUGGGCUGCCGAAAAUACUGCAUAGCUAGGGAGUGGGAGAGGUAGACGGUACUCGGUAGGAAGGGGUAAAAUCCUUUGAUCUAUCGAUGACCACCUGUGGCGAAGGCGGUCUACCAGAACACGUUCGACGGUGAGGGAUGAAAGCUGGGGGAGCAAACCGGAUUAGAUACCCGGGUAGUCCCAGCUGUAAACGAUGCAGGCUCGAUGAUGCAUUGGCAUAUAGCCAGUGCAGUGUCGCAGGGAAGCCGUUAAGUCUGCCGCCUGGGAAGUACGUACGCAAGUAUGAAACUUAAAGGAAUUGGCGGGGGAGCACCACAAGGGGUGAAGCCUGCGGUUC